AAAUAAUCUAGUAUAGGUUUCAAUAAAUUGUGAAUCCGAUAUACAUGACUGGGUAAUAUGAAUAAAAUAAAAUAAAUCCCUCAAAGGGUUAAAAUCUAAUGCAGCAGACAAAUACUUUUCAAAGUUUAUUAAUAAGUAACAAAAAAUGCUACAAAUAUAUGUGUCUUUCAAUAAAAGUCCCAAAAAAGAGUAGCAAACAAAACAGCACCAGUACCAGGUUUAACAGACCUUGAG